ACUACUCUGUCAUUUUUCUCCAUUGUGCACAGGCCUGAUGACAACUCGAGCAGAGUGGCAGUGCCAAGCUGUGAGCCACAAGCCAGAAAACGGCCAUUAUCCUGCACACGCAUGCUGCACAGAGCCUCGUCGCUCACCUGCCAUAAGCAGCAAGUCAGAGAAUGUUUUUUUUAUUCAGCCUUUCAGGAAAUGUGUCAUUAUAAAUCACCAUUACUUUAUAAUAACUGAAAUAAACCAACUCAGAUUUCUGAAGCACUAGCAGAACUGUUUGGUACAUUUGGGUUCGGAGGUAAGACUGGGUCAAAGGGAACCUACUUUAAGAGUGAGCACUGGGUCAUUCUGCUUGAACAGGAAGUCCCAUAUGUCUAAAGUGCCAUCCAUUUUGACCGUAAAGAAGACUAAAGGUCUAACAGGACUCCAACAUCCAUCUGACAGAGGGAUAAACAGAGAGGAACUGCUCACCAGUGGCUUAAGAGCCACCAUAUGUUAAAUAACCCAAGAAGGAGCUCGUCCUUCAAGCUUUCUGAAACAUCCUGUACAGAUUUAAAGGGAAACAUCUGAGCUUGACAUUAACUACAGCACUGCUACAUCAAUAUGAUCUUCAGUACUGAAGAGAGAGGAAAACCGAACACACAGGACUACAGAGUCUACUUUAGCAAGUGCAUAUGGUGCAUCAGAGCCUAUUCCUUGUUCAGAAAGUGAUCAGCAAGGGACAACAGAUGACAGAUUGCUGAACAGGAGGGUGUUACUGAGCUAAUACAGGU